UUCGUAGGUGAACCUGCGGAGGGAUCAUUAC
rnacentral:rRNA from 1 species